GAUGAACGCUCGCGGCGUGCCUAAUACAUGCAAGUCGAACGCAUUGAGAGAAGUGCUUGCACUUUUCAAUUUGAGUGGCGAACGGGUGAGUAACACGUGGGCAACCUACCUGAUAGCGGGGGAUAACGAGUGGAAACAUUCGCUAAUACCGCAUAACAAUAGAGAAGGCAUCUUCUUUAUUUAAAAGGCGCUUUCAAGCGUCACUAUCAGAUGGGCCCGCGGUGCAUUGGUUAGUUGGUGGGGUGAAGGCCUACCAAGACGAUGAUGCAUAGCCGAGUUGAGAGACUGAUCGGCCACAUUGGGACUGAGACACGGCCCAAACUCCUACGGGAGGCUGCAGUAGGGAAUCUUCCACAAUGGACGAAAGUCUGAUGGAGCAACGCCGCGUGUGUGAUGAAGGCUUUCGGGUCGUAAAGCACUGUUGUAUGGGAAGAAAUGCUAGGCUAGGAAAUGAGCUUAGUUUGACGGUACCAUACCAGAAAGGGACGGCUAAAUACGUGCCAGCCGCCGCAGUAA
rnacentral:rRNA from 1 species